rnacentral:rRNA from 1 species
AAUGAACGCUGGCGGCAUGCCUUACACAUGCAAGUCGAACGGCAGCAUGACCUAGCUUGCUAGGUUGAUGGCGAGUGGCGAACGGGUGAGUAAUGCAUCGGAACGUUCCUCUUAGUGGGGGAUAACGUAGCGAAAGUUACGCUAAUACCGCAUAUUCUCUGAGGAGGAAAGCAGGGGACCUUCGGGCCUUGCGCUAGAAGAGCGGCCGAUGUCGGAUUAGCUAGUUGGUGAGGUAAAGGCUCACCAAGGCAACGAUCCGUAGCGGGUCUGAGAGGAUGAUCCGCCACACUGGGACUGAGACACGGCCCAGACUCCUACGGGAGGCAGCAGUGGGGAAUUUUGGACAAUGGGCGCAAGCCUGAUCCAGCCAUGCCGCGUGAGUGAAGAAGGCCUUCGGGUUGUAAAGCUCUUUCGGCUGGGAAGAAAUCGCACCCUCUAAUACAGGGUGUGGAUGACGGUACCAGCAUAAGAAGCACCGGCUAACUACGUG